ACGGGAGGCAGCAGCUAAGAAUAUUCCGCAAUGGACGAAAGUCUGACGGAGCGACGCCGCGUGGAUGAUGAAGGUCGGAAGAUUGUAAAAUCCUUUUAAGUAUGAAGAAUAAGCAGGACAGGUAAUGGUCCUGUGGUGACGGUAGUACUUGAAUAAGCAACGGCUAAUUACGUGCCAGCAGCCGCGGUAAUACGUAAGUUGCGAGCGUUGUUCGGAAUUAUUGGGCGUAAAGGGCAUGUAGGCGGUCUGUCAAGCCAGGCGUGAAAGCCAGGGGCUCAACCCCUGAACUGCGCUUGGAACUGGCGGACUGGAGUCGCUGAGGGGGAACCGGAAUUCCUGGUGUAGGGGUGAAAUCUGUAGAUAUCAGGAAGAACACCGAUGGCGAAGGCAGGUUUCCAGCAGACGACUGACGCUGAGGUGCGAAGGUGCGGGGAGCAAACAGGAUUAGAUACCCUGGUA
rnacentral:rRNA from 1 species